rnacentral:rRNA from 1 species
CCUACGGGAGGCUGCAGUGGGGGAUAUUGGACAAUGGGGGAAACCCUGAUCCAGCGACGCCGCGUUAGUGAAGAAGUAUUUCGGUAUGUAAAGCUCUGUCAGCAGGGAAGCAAGAAAUGCCGGUACCUGACCAAGAAGCCCCGGCUAACUACGUGCCAGCAGCCGCGGUAAUACGUAGGGGGCAAGCGUUAUCCGGAAGUACUGGGUGUAAAGGGAGCGUAGACGGUGAUGCAAGUCUGGAGUGAAAGGCGGUGGCCCAACCCCCGGACUGCUCUGGAAACUGUGUAACUUGAGUGCAGGAGAGGGAAGCGGAAUGCCUAGUGUAGCGGUGAAAUGCGUAGAUAUUAGGAGGAACACCAGUGGCGAAGGCGGCUUACUGGACUGUAACUGACGUUGAGGCUCGAAAGCGUGGGGAGCAAACAGGAUUAGAUACCCCUGUAGUC